rnacentral:rRNA from 1 species
GACGAACGCUGGCGGCGUGCCUAAUACAUGCAAGUAGAACGCUGAAGGAGGAGCUUGCUUCUCCGGAUGAGUUGCGAACGGGUGAGUAACGCGUAGGUAACCUGCCUGGUAGCGGGGGAUAACUAUUGGAAACGAUAGCUAAUACCGCAUAAGAGUAGAUGUCGCAUGACAUUUGCUUAAAAGGUGCAACUGCACCACUACCAGAUGGACCUGCGUUGUAUUAGCUAGUUGGUGAGGUAACGGCUCACCAAGGCAACGAUACAUAGCCGACCUGAGAGGGUGAUCGGCCACACUGGGACUGAGACACGGCCCAGACUCCUACGGGAGGCAGCAGUAGGGAAUCUUCGGCAAUGGACGGAAGUCUGACCGAGCAACGCCGCGUGAGUGAAGAAGGUUUUCGGAUCGUAAAGCUCUGUUGUAAGAGAAGAACGAGUGUGAGAGUGGAAAGUUCACACUGUGACGGUAUCCUACCAGAAAGGGACGGCUAACUACGUG